rnacentral:lncRNA from 1 species
CGUCGCAAGCCCGCUGCGAACAAUUUCCAAAACGGCAUCAAAGUCGUCAAAUAUUAAUAACUAUAAUCGGAAUCUUACGAUUUUAGUUUUCUAACUGAAAUUCCUGCUUACCUCAGGUUAGAACACCUUCUAACCAGUCCCCAAGGUCACCAAUUAAGCUUAAAUUAAUCCGCAAACCUGCUGCGAAGAGCACAAUCCAAAUUGCAUUAAGUUAUUCAAAUAAACUUCGUAUAAUUGCGAAAUAACUUC